rnacentral:snRNA from 1 species
AUACUUACCUGGCAGGGGAGAUACUAUGAUCACGAAGGUGUUUUCCCUGGGGGAGGCUUAUCGACUGCACUCUGCAUGUGCUGACCCCUGUGAUUUCCUGAAAUGUGGGAAACUCGACUGCAGAAUUUGAGGUAGUGGGGGACUGUGUUCACACUUUCCCCUG